AUACUCCAAUUGUAGAGAUAUAAGAGCAGCAGAUAUGGAAGAAGUACGACAAUGGAUAUUAAGUCUGCUGAAGCCAGAACAAACACCUACAACAAGAGCUAUCAGGAAAAAAUUCAUUUCUCCAAACUUGAUGACCAGAUACUGCAAACUAAUUGGACAAAAGUAUUCAGAUCAUCUAUGUACAAAAUGCGACGGAGAAGAUAACUAUAUUCCUGAAGUCCAGCUAGAAUGAAGACAUAUGUAAAGUAUGAAUAGUAGUGUCUGUAAAGUAUGAAUAGUAGUGUCGGCCAUAUUUAAAAAAGCAAAGGCCAGUAUAUAAAGAAGUAAAGUUGUAAAUAGUAUGUCGGCCAUAUAAAAAAUAAAGGCCAAUUAUGUGUGAAAGUAUUUUGUUUUCUUGUGUCGGCCGAAUAUAAAUAGGCCAGGUGUAAAGUGUUGUAUGUAAAGGAGUGUCGGCCAUUUGGCCAAAGUGUUGAG
rnacentral:misc_RNA from 1 species